rnacentral:rRNA from 1 species
GACGAACGCUGGCGGCGUGCUUAACACAUGCAAGUCGAACGGUGAAGGGAAGCUUGCUUCCCGGAUCAGUGGCGAACGGUGCGUAACACGUGGGCAAUCUGCCCCAGACUUUGGGAUAACUACUCGAAAGAGUAGCUAAUACCGAAUAUUCAGCCUUGCAGGCAUCUGCGAGGCUGGAAAGUUUCUCGGUCUGGGAUGAGCCCGCGGCCUAUCAGCUAGUUGGUGAGGUAAUGGCUCACCAAGGCGACGACGGGUAGCCGGCCUGAGAGGGCGACCGGGCCACACUGGGACUGAGACACGGCCCAGACUCCUACGGGAGGCAGCAGUGGGGAAUAUUGCGCAAUGGGCGAAAGCCUGACGCAGCAACGCCGCGUGCGGGAUGAAGGCCUCGG